rnacentral:rRNA from 1 species
GAUGAGCGCUGGCGGCGUGCCUAAUACAUGCAAGUCGAGCGAACGGACGAGAAGCUUGCUUCUCUGAUGUUAGCGGCGGACGGGUGAGUAACACGUGGAUAACCUACCUAUAAGACUGGGAUAACUUCGGGAAACCGGAGCUAAUACCGGAUAAUAUUUUGAACCGCAUGGUUCAAAAGUGAAAGACGGUCUUGCUGUCACUUAUAGAUGGAUCCGCGCUGCAUUAGCUAGUUGGUAAGGUAACGACUUACCAAGGCAACGAUGCAUAGCCGACCUGAGAGGGUGAUCGGCCACACUGGAACUGAGACACGGUCCAGACUCCUACGGGAGGCAGCAGUAGGGAAUCUUCCGCAAUGGGCGAAAGCCUGACGGAGCAACGCCGCGUGAGUGAUGAAGGUCUUCGGAUCGUAAAACUCUGUUAUUAGGGAAGAACAUAUGUGUAAGUAACUGUGCACAUCCUGACGGUACCUAAUCAGAAAGCCACGGCUAACUACGUG